UACGAAGGGGGCUAGCGUUGCUCGGAAUCACUGGGCGUAAAGGGUGCGUAGGCGGGGCUUUAAGUCAGGGGUGAAAUCCUGGAGCUCAACUCCAGAACUGCCUUUGAUACUGGGAAGCUCGAGUCCGGAAGAGGUGAGUGGAACUCCGAGUGUAGAGGUGAAAUUCGUAGAUAUUCGGAAGAACACCAGUGGCGAAGGCGGCUCACUGGCCCGGUACUGACGCUGAGAUACGAAAGCGUGGGGAGCAAACAGG
rnacentral:rRNA from 1 species